rnacentral:rRNA from 1 species
GACGAACGCUGGCGGCGUGCUUAACACAUGCAAGUCGAACGGUGAAGCGCCUUCCUUUUUGGUGGGUGUGGAUGAGUGGCGAACGGGUGAGUAACACGUGAGUAACCUGCCCCCUUCUUCUGGAUAACCGCAUGAAAGUGUGGCUAAUACGGGAUAUUCUGGUCCUGUCGCAUGAUGGGUUUGGGAAAGAUGUUGUUUCGGUGGGGGAUGGGCUCGCGGCCUAUCAGCGUGUUGGUGGGGGGUUGGCCUACCAAGGCGGUGAGGGGUAGCCGGCCUGAGAGGGGGAACGGCCACACUGGGGCUGAGACACGGGGCAGACUCCUACGGGAGGCAGCGGUGGGGAAUAUAGCACAAUGGGCGCAAGCCUGAGGCAGCGACGCCGCGUGAGGGAUGGAGGCCUUCGGGUUGUGAACCUCUUUUGCCAGUGAAGCAGGACUGCAUCGUUUGUGGGUGGGUUGACGGUAGCUGAAGAAGAAGCGCCGGCUAACUACGUG